rnacentral:rRNA from 1 species
UACGUAGGCAGCAAGCGUUGUUCGGAAUUACUGGGCGUAAAGAGUGUGUAGGCGGUGCUCUAAGUCUGUUGUGAAAUCUCCCGGCUUAACCGGGAGGGUGCGGCGGAAACUGGAGUGCUUGAGGGUGGGCGAGGUAAGCGGAAUUCCUGGUGUAGCGGUGAAAUGCGUAGAUAUCAGGAGGAACACCUGUGGCGAAAGCGGCGCACUGGACCAUAACUGACGCUGAUGCGCGAAAGCUAGGGGAGCAAACAGG